UCAUGUUAACACUCAAGAUCAGUGUUUCCUUUUCCCUGCCCGGUGCUAUAAUGCUAUGUGCCAGAAGCGCACAGAAAGAGAAACACCAGAGUGUCAUUCUGUUUGCAUCCUCCACUGUCUUCC